UGCUUGUGCGAAUCUGAGGAGCUGGGACCAGCAGGUGGGUAGAAUUUUUCUGCUUGUGUCUUUGGAAUGAAAGACACAGAGAGGUGAUCGUCCAGAUAAGCUGUGCUGAGGUUCUUUGAGGGAUACUCCUGUUGAUGUUUGGAGGAACCACAUCAUGAUCAAAACCGGGACUCCCACAUGCCCAGCAUCUCUUUAAGCCAUUCCCUGGCCCAAGCUAUGGUUUAGAGACUUGGACUUGUCUAGAUUUUGUCUUAGGUGGCCUAAAGAAAUGAAGUGAAGCCAGGUAUGGGGCAAACUGGUUGUGUUGGAGCUCUGGGGAGCUGGUGGGUGUUGUGAGUAUCUCUGGGCCAGGACAGGAGUGUGCAACUGCAUCUCUGCAUAGCUUAUGAGAGCUUAGGGAGCCAGGGUUGAAGCCUAGCUUUUGGCCAGCUUCUGGAGAGCUGGUGGCUGACAGGUGUGUAUUGCCCAGUCUCUCUGCUGGUGCAGAGCAGGGUUUGUCAGGGAAGAUGCUGGAACAAGGAUCAGAAUAGUUUCACCCAAUGAAGCCAGUCUGGCGAGACAGCAGGGCUUCUUCAGACCCAGGUGAGCAUCAGACAGACGAGAUGCAAGCCUCUCAGGAGCAAGCACAGGUAGGCAGAGUUGGCCUGCCAGGUGAGGGCAGAUGGCCUAGAGUCCACUCCUGGUAGGUAGAUCUGGAUCCGACACAGAGAAUGCAGUGGACCAUCUCAGUGAGUUCUAAGGGCUCAAGGUCCCAGGACUGGAUGCUAGUCAUUGUCUCAGUGGCUAAGGCACAACACAGGUAGGAACUACUGGCUCAGCAGGUGUCACCCAAGUAGCAGUGAUCAAGCACAGGUAGGAAACACUGGCCUGUGGUUUAUUUGCUUUUAUUCCUGGUGGAUCCCCAGAAUGCAUGUAAGUGCCUUACUUCCUGGCCCAACUUUCUGGUUCUCUGGCCUGCUAGGUAGGAUCUGAGAAGCCAGGAUCAGUAAAGGUAGGCAAAAUUUCCUGCCAGGUGUGGUCUUGAAGAGCUGGCAUCAAGAACAGA